rnacentral:lncRNA from 1 species
AUUCUCGAGCUUUAUCCCCAACCAAUCAGCAUUAGGAUUUUAAACCCUAAACUGAAUUUUCCUUUUAGUCAGCAUUAGGGUUUUAAACCCUAAACUGAACUUUUUCCUUUCAGCCAGCAUUAGGGUUUUAAACCCUAAACUGAACUUUUCCAUGCAAUCAGCAUUAGGGUUUUAAACCCUAAACUGAAUUUUCCUUUCAGCCAGCAUUAGGGUUUAAAACCCUAAACUGAGCUUUUUCCAUGCAGUCAGCAAUAGGGUUUUAAACCCUAAACUGAACUUUUUCCUUUCAGCCAGCAUUAGGGUUUUAAACCCUAAACUGAGCUUUUUCCAUGCAAUCAGCAUUAGGGUUUUAAACCCUAAACUGAAUUUUCCUUUUAGUCAGCAUUAGGGUUUUAAACCCUAAACUGAGCUUUUUCAUGCAAUCAGCAUUAGGGUUUUAAACCCUAAACUGAAUUUUCCUUUUAGUCAGCAUUAGGGUUUUAAACCCUAAACUGAACUUUUUCCUUUAGCCAGCAUUAGGGUUUUAAA